rnacentral:rRNA from 1 species
UACGUAGGAGGCGAGCGUUGUCCGGAUUUACUGGGCGUAAAGCGCGCGCAGGCGGCACGCUAAGUAUGGUGUGAAAUCUCCCUGCUCAACGGGGAGGGAGCAUUGUAAACUAGCGAGCUAGAGGACGGUAGAGGGGGUAGAAUUGCUGGUGUAGCGGUGAAAUGCGUAGAGAUCAGCAGGAAUACCCGUGGCGAAGGCGGCCCCUGGGCCGAACCUGACGCUGAGGCGCGAAGGCUAGGGAGCGAACGGG